AACGAACGCUGGCGGCGUGUCUUAAGCAUGCAAGUCGAGUGGCAAGGGCAGCAAUGCCCCUAGAACGGCGGACUGGUGAGUAACGCGUGGGUGAUCUGCCCUUGGGUUGGGGAUAGCCAUUAGAAAUAGUGGGUAAUACCGAAUACGUUCGCGAGGCUGUGGCCUUGCGAGGAAAGGCGCUUCGGCGCCGCCCGAGGAUGAGCCCGCGUCCCAUUAGCGAGUUGGUGAGGUAACGGCCCACCAAGGCGAUGAUGGGUAGGCGGCCUGAGAGGGUGUACGCCAACACGGUGAGAGAGAUACGGCCCAGACUCCUACGGGAGGCAGCAGCGAAGAAUAUUCCGCAAUGGACGAAAGUCUGACGGAGCGACGCCGCGUGGAUGAUGAAGGCCGAAAGGUUGUAAAAUCCUUUUGUCGGGGAAGAAUAAGCCUGGGAGGGAAUGCCCGGGUGAUGACAUGAACCGGCGAAUAAGCCCCGGCUAACUACGUGCCAGCCGCCGCCGUAAGAC
rnacentral:rRNA from 1 species